AGUGUUCUGCGUGACAGCGUGGCUGAUGUCCAUUUGUGAGCUGUGUUUAGAUUUGUGAUGGAAAAUUGGCAUUUUAUGUGAGAUUUACGGUCAAACUUUCCGGCAGUAAACCUGGACUGAGCAUCAAGAAAGUCUAAUUACGAGCUGCAGCCUGGCGAGCAGUAUGCGACUUCGCUUGCCAACAUUUUCUUGGCGGUCGGCUUUGGGGAGCCGAGAUUUUCAGAGAGACCAAAGAUCGUCGCACUGAUAGCCUGCGUAGAUGAGAUUACGGUACUACCCCGGGAGUACUUUUUGUCUCAAUUCAGUAUGGAACUAGAUUCCGAUCUUCUGAGCACGCUCCAGUAAAUAAAAUACUUCAUAGUCUGAUCAUUUCAUUAUUCAAACAGUUGGAAUUCUAAUUUAUAAUUUUAUUUGUAAUUUCUAGAUUAACAGAAUUCAAUGUCAAUUUUCUGUAUGCAGACGUGAAGUGCCGCUAAAGAGGAAGGUGCCUGGGAAGGAGUAUGGGAUUCUUCAGAGCUCUUUGUUCUAAUAAAUUUGCUUUGUUCCAUGA